UACAGGGGUCUCAAGCGUUGUUCGGAUUCAUUGGGCGUAAAGGGCGCGUAGGCGGCGGGGUAAGUCGGGUGUGAAAUCUCAGAGCUCAACUCUGAAAUGGGCACUUGAUACUGCUCUGCUAGAGGACUGGAGAGGAGAUUGGAAUUCACGGUGUAGCAGUGAAAUGCGUAGAUAUCGUGAGGAAGACCGGUGGCGAAGGCGGAUCUCUGGACAGUUCCUGACGCUGAGGCGCGAAGGCCCAGGGGAGC
rnacentral:rRNA from 1 species